GGCAUAUGCCCUUGACCAGGAUCGAACCUGAGACCCUUCAUUCCACAGGUUGACGCUCUAUCUACUGAGCCAAACUGGCUAGGGCAGGACUUCGUUCUUUUCUGGAGUGGGAGCUAAGAGAAGAAUGGAAGGGAGGAGGAGAGACAGACACUUCGAUGUGAGAGAGACACAUUGAUUGGUUGCCUCCAGCAUGCACUCGGACCAGGGCCAGGGAUCUGAGCCUGCAACCGAGGUAUGAUGUGCCCUUGACCAGAAUUGAAUCUAUGACCCUUCAGUCCUCAGGCUGACGUUCUAUCCAUUGAGCAAAACCAGCUAGGGCUUGCUGCUUCUAUUAUCUUUGACCAACCUUUCUUGCCUUCCACCUUUAAUGGUCCAUUUAAUUACAUUGGGUCCACCUGGAUGACCUCACUAUUUUGUGUGUAACCUUAACUGAUCUACAAAGUCCCUUUUGCUAUGUAAUUUAACAUAAACAGGUAUAGAACUGAUCAGUAGAGCAUGAGAACCUUUGAGGGGUGGCAUUUUCCAGUCUACCAUAGUAAUUAUACAUCUGGGAAAAGAAAAAUAAUUCAGAAGUGCUUAAGGAUAAAAGUAAAAUUUCUCCUUUUUCAGCUGUAAUUCCAUUCCUUUCCCACUUGACUCGAUUAUUGGAAUUCAGUUGUAAGAGCCAUUCUGUUGUGAUGACCUAGAUCUGCUCUAAUUUGUAUUUUUUUUACAUAAAAUAUUCACAAACUUUGGUACAUUGUUAUAGAUCUACUGUAUGAAAUUGCCAAUAUUUGAUUGUUUCUAAGUAUAAAAAGACAAUUUCAUGUGGUACUAAUAACUUAAAACACAUCUUACAUUAAUUAUAUCUUAUAACUAUUGGAUAUAAUUUUAUAUUAUGACAGGUUAGAUAACUAAUGUUAUAGAAUGAGGAAUUUUCCUUCAAUAGGUUUUGUAACUUAAAAACAAACAAUUUAUCUUGAUUUAAAACAUUUCCAAACUAUAAGCAUGUAUAUCUUCCCAAUUUUUAUAUGACUUUGGUCUCAGCUUUUGUUUAAUAAAAAGCUUAUUGAUC